GAGAUUAGCGCACAACCCUAGAGUCGGACACGACUGGCCCGUACGGGCAGGGGUACCUUUACCUUUACCUUUAAACAUAUACGUAGUUUGUAUUCAGCCAAAGUAGCAAGGAACCCAUGUCUCUAAAUGGACAAGACCACAGGAAAAGGAAAAAGGAGUUGCCCAGAAUUAUAGGGAGGGGUUUGGGUUGCAGAGCAGGAGAACAGGGGAGCAGAAAAAGCAAAGAUAUGCAGGGGGGAAAGGUCUGCUCUGGAAAGUGGAAGCAACAGCAGGGAAACAGAGAAGCUCCUUUGAUAGCGAAGGAUCACGAAAAGCAGCACUGCUGAAUUCAACUUCCCAGUGUUUCUAAGAGUGAAGAAAUACCUCAGUCUCAGGCCUGCUGCAAUGGACGUCUUUCCCUCCUUUUCUUCCUUCCUUCCUUUUGAACAAGCACAACACAACAGUUAAUAUACAGUAUUCAUCUUGAUGCUAGUGUAGAGGAACAGAAGAAGCUGACUAUUUAUGAUGCUUAUCUGGGUGGAGCCCGUGGUGAGUGUUUUUCAGUUUCUUUAUCACUUUUGUUAACACACUUUAUUUUCCUGUUAGAAACAUUAUUUUUGGAGAGAAACUUUGCUGGCCACAUUUCUGUUUGUGUGCUGAGUCACUCAAUCAUACACACCCUAAGAACACUUAUUUGGAAGUAAAUUCUGUUGAAUUUAAUCAACCUUACAUCUUCUAUGCAUCCACAGACUCUGCUAUAAUUUCCAUUUCUUCCUGAACCUACUACAGUGUCUAUUGUACCUCUUCUAUCUCUCUGUCUUUCUUUCUUUGCUGCAAUCACAUUGACACAUUCCUGAAAUCUUGUUGGUGUUUGCAUCAGCUUCAGCCAAACUAAGCCUCAAUGCAUUCCACCAGAAUUUCAUAUAAACCUAAGUACCGGCUAUAUUGUAUAAAGAAGACGGGAUGGUAUGUAUAAGCAAUAACACACAGCACAGCAGGAUGAAACCUACCCUAGAAGUCUUAUAUACAUACUGCUUUGGUAACAUCAGCAUAUACCACCCAAGGGGUGCAGCAGGAUGCCAUUUGCAACCUAAAGUUUGAAGCUGAAGAAGGAAGCAAAGGAUUGUCCCUGACUUUCCAUGGAGGUGCAGUUUAAGGUCAGUGUACAUGCUACUCUGUGUACACUUAACUGGCAGAAAGCCCCGUAGUAUUCAAAGAGGCUUCCAAGUAAACAUGCACACAAGGGCAGCAUUCUGCAGGCUACAAGUUUUGACUUGGCUACCAGGGAGAGCCAAAAUAUGUGGAUCACUGUUUGAAAGAGGAAUCUAUGGCUAUCGGUGGUUAUUAACAUUAGUAGAUAAAUGGAGCCUCCAACCUCAGGUGUCCACUGUGAAUAAUUUGCAAAACACCUUGAAGAUAAAAUAACUUAAAUCCAUGCUAACUUGGAACCCAUAUAUAAAGUUAUGGAUGCCCUCAUGGUUCCCAAGUACCAUAAUGCAUUUCAAUUUAUGCAGCCUGAGGAGGUGGACAAGGUCCCCUUCUUGCCGCUGGAGGGGCCUGGCAUAUUGGGUGGGAGGGGUUCUUAAUGUCUCACAUAGGGAGGGUGUAGUUUUAGUAGUCUUAAAGGAUCCUUAAUAAAUAGCUUAUACAGUGGUACCUCUAGUUACGAACUUAAUUCUUUCUGGAGGUCCGUUCUUAACCUGAAACUGUUCAUAACUAGAGGUGUGCUUUCGC